ensembl:lncRNA
AAACCCUACUGGGUGCUUUGGAUUCACCCAACACUUUGGCAAGCCAUUACAUGCCUUAACUAAUUUAGGCUUCAAAAGCCCUAGAAGAUGAUACUGUUACCGUCUAAAUCCCCAUUUAGUAGGAGAGAAGCCAGAAUCAAUAAGGCUGACGCUGGUCCAGAACUUUGAGCAGGUACACAGAGAUUUGGGCGUCCCUGUCCAUUACGGCAAACUCUGUUCUGAUUGGCUGAUGCCUGUCCUACUGGUUAUUCAAUGUUUUGAACGUUGCCUUGGUUACACAGCUGGAUGGAGGCGGUAGAAUCCAACCCACCCCAGAGCACGGCAAAUUGAUCCCUUCUUAAUGACGUCCCGCCCAGAAGCAGCAACCUUGUAAACUCUAAAGUCCACUAUAAAUAGCAAGUUAGCUCAUUCCUCCACAGCAAAAGAGGCUUGUUGAAGUUGGAACAGGCUGAGGAGUUGGAUGGCUGAAUAGACUCUGCUGUGGGGAACCAGCAUUCUUUUGACCCGCUUGAGAGGAAACCAAGACACCAAGGACAAGGCCAGUGGAGCCCUGCGGUGCCUGGUGCCUGAGGUCCUCGGCGCUCAUCGGUUAGCCUUGGCCUGUCUUCACUGACUGAGUAGGCUCUACUAUAUCUGUCCAGCAGGUGGCGCUACUCCCCCACCUUGCCUGCCACAGACCACACCGAAAUCCCUCGCCAAACACACAUCCCUCUUACAGGAAAUCAGAAUUUAAGAGAGGCCCCUGGGAUUUUAAGAAGUGGCCAAGGAGGAGCUAUGGAAGUAAAAAUUGGUCCCUACCCCACUGAGAAGUGAAAUAGGACCGAAGGGAGACUGGCUACUUUCAGUACCAUAAACCUUGGACCCAUUUUACUGAUGAGUAAUUUGAGACUCGACAACUUUAGGUGACACCAAGAGGCUUGAGAGAGGCAACGCUAAGCCAUCCGAUUCCAAGGAAUUAAAAAAAAAAAAAGUCGGGGCGCCACCUCUCCAGAUCUGCAGCCAAAUAGACGAGACGAGACUAGGCUGGGCAGCGGCCGGCACGAGAGGGAACUCUGGCCCGGAGGCGGGAACUGGGCACGUCCGGCCGUGGGAGGCCCGGAGCCAGCACCUGUAAAGUGGGGGGCCGUCCUAAAAGUGGCUUCUUCAAAGCCUCCCCACCCCCGCCUCCCGCUCCUCUGAGGUUCCAGUGUCUCGCCCUGGGGGCCCGCCCUAACGAGCCUCUAUUUCAUUUCCUCCCCUUCCUGCCCGACUGUUUCCUUCCUUCUGCCCCGGGAGUUGCGGGCAGCUCGCGUGUCUGGGCGCACGUGCGUGGAAGUCAUCGUGUGCACACCGGAGCGUGCGUGUGCGAGCCAGUGUGGGCUCCGUGCGCGCCCCCCACGUGGUCGCUGCGACCCGACCCGCUGCUGCACUUUGGUCCACCCGCCAAGGGGCCGUGUGCAAGACUUCGCAUGCACCAGGCGGGUGCACGACCGCGAGCCCGCAGUGUUUGCAGGCACCCGGAGCGUGGCGACUCCGGGGACUAGUGACCCGUCCCGCAUUUUCCCGCUCCCGGGACCUCCCCUUGCUCGUGGUGGUUCCGGCAGGGAGCGGCCCCGCCCGCCCGAACGGCCGGCUAGAUGCUGCUGCUGCUGCGGCCGCUGCCAGGCGCGCCGCCCCCGCGCCGGCGCCCCGAUGGGUUUUUCCAUGACUGCAUCCGGCCCCGGCCGCCUUUGUUCCCGCCGUCCCUGGCCUGCCCGCGCGCCGGGUUUUUCCAGCGCUCAACUGGAGCAUGGAGGAGCCGCCUCCGAGCUUCAGCUCCCCUCUCCGAAAACCGAGCGCUCUGCAGAUGCAUAGCUCCGUGCCCCCCGCCCCUGUCCCCAAGGCUUGUGGCCUCAGCCCCAUGCUUGAGCAUAGUUGGCGGUCACCGUGACCUGCGCGCCUCAAUAUUGCGCGACGGCGCUAGUCGCGCUACAAGUCCCUCGGGGAGGCUGCAAGGACUCACAGAGGUCGGGGGACGCACCUGCCUCCGGGAAGGGAAGGGCAGUGCGGGGCAGCCCGCAAGGCAGUUAUGCCCAGCGACCUGCUGCUGCAUAACUGCGGGUCCCAGGUGGAGGAAUGCGCGUGCUCACAGGUCACGGCAGGGAGACCGUGGUGUGUCCGCAGUGCGGACUCAGCUCAUGGGUGGAAAACGGGAUGGACACACUCAGGCUGGAUGCAUAUCUCUCUCGUGGUCUCCGAGACCCUCGGGAUGACAGGAAACAGAGAGCUGACAUAGAGCGAUGGGGUGGACAGUAAAGGCGGACUCCUGUCAUUAACCUUGGGCAGGCAUAAGGUCCUUCGGUCCCUACUGUACUCUGAAUUGCUUUCGUGGCCCGAUCCUGCCCACACUAAGGUGAAUUCAGUGUGGGUGCCUGUGACCUUACCGUCCUUGCUAUUGCCCUAGUUACCGGAUUUUAAAGGCUUUUUGCUUUCUAGGGAGGUUCAUAGUGCAGCCUCCAGGCUGGGGACCAGUUUGAGGAAGGUGAAUUUGAAAGGGAAGAGCCCUGGAUUAAGUGGAUGCCUGGCCCGGGAAAAGGGGGUAAUUCUGGGAUUACGCCCUUCCAACUGCCUGUAGGAGGCUGCUUCCAGAGGCCUGAUCUGGAGGUCAGGAAGUCCGGAACUGUGCCCGCUGUACAGGGUAGGAGGGGUCAGCCCUGUGGGUACCGGCUGGUCUCUGCACCACCCUCAUUACGUCAGCACCCUAUGGAUCGAUUUCUUUCCGAAACAGUAAAGAGAAGGUGUGGUGGCCUUCAUCCAUACACUCAGGCAAGUGUAGAGGAUCUCUGUAGGUUCGAGGCCAGACUUGGUCUACAAAGUGAGUCCCAGGACAGCCAGAGAUUUGUUACUUAAAGUGACCCUAUCUCAAAAACAAACCAACCCACAAGGGCUGGAGAAAUGGUUCAGCAGUUAGGAGCUCUGGCUGAUCUUCAAGAGACCCGGGGUUCAUUUUCCAGCACCCACAUGGCAGCUCACACAGCCUAUAACCCCAGUUCCAGAGGAUCUGAUGUCCUCACACAUACAUACAGGCAAAACAUCUUUGCACAUACAAUACAAAUAAAUCUUUAAAAAACAAACACAAGCCAGGCGCUGGUGGCACAUGCCUUUAAUCCCAGCACUCGGGAGGCAGAGGCAGGUGGAUCUCUGUGAGUUCGAGACCAGCCUGGUCUACAAGAGCUAGUUCCAGGACAGCCUCCAAAGCUACAGAGAAACCCUGUCUUGAAAAAGCAAAAAACCAAAACAAAAACCACCAAACAGCCACAUGCUAUUAUGAAAGAUCAUUUCACCAAAGUUCAGUCUUUGUCAGCUCUUUGGAGAGGCCAUAGCUAGGGUCCCCUCCCUUCUGGGUUCUUCUAUUUGCUCCCUGAGGCUAAAUACUCUCACCCACCCAUCCUGUUCCCACACAGCUGGAUUCCCUCCUGCCCACAGGCUAACUCCCACAUCCUUUGUGAACUGAGGGAGGGCCCCGGCUAAGGCCAGCCCUUGUCCUAAAGGGAUGUGAGCUGCUCUACAUCAGGCCCCACCAAUGGCCUCACUCAGUGCCACCACCUCAUAGGAACUGGACAAGCAAGGCCUUCUUAGACACUCCUGCUGUAAGCAAGAUUCAACCCAGUUUUCUCUAGACCAUGGCGUCUAGCUCCUUGGUUCCUUCAGUACUUAAUCACUUAAGUGAUUUCUUCUGUUCUGCCUAGAGACUGCCUUGGUGGGAAGAGAGGGACACAGGCCGAAUUCCCACAAGGAAGCAAACAUCUCCGGUGGGUUUGUCUGUGAGAUGAAGCGCUUGUACCACUGGCAUCCCGUUUGCUGUCCUUUGUCCUUAGCUCUGUCCCGUCAUUUACCUCUUAUCUCCUCAAGCGAAGAUUUUGUUAUUUAUUGGUUUCGGGUUUGUGCUAGGGUCUCUGUAUUCCAGGCAGGUCUUGAAUUCUCUAGCUUCCAGUGUCAGCCUGAAGGUAGCUGAGAUUAGAACCCUGUUAUACCAGGCCCAAUGAGGCCUGUUCUCACCUGCAUGUUAGAGAUGAGAAAAGGGAGUCAUGAGAAGCUAGGCAACUUAGCCACACAGUGAGGCUCACUAAACAGAGGCCUGCACAGCCUAACCACCUGCAGUGGGGGGUUAAUAUCCAUAGCUCGUGUGCAAAUGGAGAGGCAAGUACCACCUAUGUAUGCACUGGGUUACAGAGAAGCCGCCUUCAUAACAAUGCUGUCCCACCCAGUUCCCACUUGGUGGCCGUUAAUUUGCUUUGUGGGUUUUUAUUCUAAUUACAACUAUCAAAUUUAUAAGAUUCAAAUAGUUGAGUUGUUGAUGGAAAGUCCGCUCUAAGUCCUUCCAGAUAUAAAGUGGGUCCUGUGCCGUUUCUUUUUAUAUUUGCUGACUAUGUCACCGGAGACAACAUGUAUUUCCAUGUAAUGGGCAUCCUUCAACUGCAAGAAGGAAUAUUUCUGUUCCCCAUCGUCUAGUGUCUAAUGAGGAUCUUUGAGGACUAACUCUUAAGUGUGCCCCAAAUCCUUUGGUCUCUUCUGGCUUUUUAUUUAUUUACUUACUUAUUUUUAUUACAUAUACACUGUUCUGUCUGCAUGUUUGCCUAUAUGCCAGAAGAGGGCACCAGAUCUCCUGAUAGAUGGUUGUGAGCCACCAUGUGGUUGCUGGGAAUUGAACUCAGAACCUCUGGAAGAGCAGUCAGUGCUCUUAACCACUGAGCCAUCUCUCCAGCCCCCUCCCAUGUCUGGGAGGGACCUGGGACUCGCUAAUUCAUAAGGAUAUUACAAAGGCUACAUCCACCCCUGUUGGCUUUACAAAAACAAGCUGCUCCUGUGUGAAGGAGGCCCUGUGGCAAGAUACAAGAACACCAGCUAGAGAGCCAGUGUGGCAGACACUGAUAAUACCAGCACUUGGGAAGACAAGGCAAAUUCAGAAGUUCAGGGUCAUCCUUGCCUACUCAGUGAGCUCAAGGACAGCCAAAUGAGACCCUGUCUUAAAACAAAAUAUGGUUAAAGCUAAUCCCAGACAAGAAACAGGCCCAGGGUGCAGGGUUUAGAAAAAGAAGGCUAAAGCCAGGUGGUGGAGCACGCCCUUAAUCCCAGCACGGGGAGGCAGAGGCAGGCGGAUCUCUGAGAGUCUGAAGCCAGGCUGGUCUACACAGCAAGUUCCAGGACAGCCAGAGCAAUGUAGAAAGACCCUAUCUCAAAGGAACCAAGGUGGACAGGGAGAAAGAAAACAAAAGCUUAAAAGCUUGUACUGAAUUCUACCUAUGUGGCUCCAAGCUUAGAAACUUGUCUUUCCCCAGUUGAUCUUUAGCUAGGACUUCAGCCAUGCUUUAAUUAUAGCCUUGCAAAAUACCCAACUCAGAUUCCUUUUCUUUCCUCCUCUUCUUUUAUUUAUUCAUUUUCAGAUACAUUUAUUUCACAUGUAGGGGUUUUUGAUUGUGUGUACAUAUGUGUACCAUGUGCACGCCUGGUACCUGUGGAGGUCACAAGAGGGCACUGGCCACCCCUGGAACUAGAGUUACAGGUGUUUAUGAGCCACCGUGUGGGUUCUGGAAAUUGAACCCAGAUUCUCUGCAAGAGCAAAAAGUACUUUUAACUUCCAAGCCUUCUCAGCCCACCCCAUCCCAGAUUUCCUUGACAAACUAUGAUGUACAAAAUAUAUUGUUUAACUUGACAUGCUUGUGAGAAUAUUGUUAUGCAUCAACAGAGAGCUAGCUCAGGACCUAUGAGGUAAAACACCCAGCGUGAGGCCAUUAGUAGAUAGACCCAGCACCUCAGGAGUCAGCAGUCAAGAUGAGCAUGCUUUAACUAUAGACAAAAGGAAAUUCACGUUCUGAAGAGGGAACCAGCCGCUCCUAGGAAAUGGAAUGUGCUACAUAGAUUAGUAGGAAAGCUUCAAAUGGGAGAGCGGGGGAGGGGAGGAGGAGGGAGAGAGGGCGAGAAGGAGGGAGGGAGGGAGAGGAGGAGGGAGGAGGGAGAGAAGGAGGGAGGAGGGAGAGAGGGAGAACAUACAGAUCUCUCCUUUUCCAGGCUGCUACUGACUUCUUCUUCUUCCUCCUCCUCCUCCUCCUGUUCCUUUUUUUUGGGGGGGGGUUCGUUUUUCGAGACUGG